UGGCAGACCGACAUGGCAGUAGGUAG
rnacentral:piRNA from 1 species